rnacentral:lncRNA from 1 species
UUGCAAAGCUGCUUCCAUAUUUUCAGGUAUUUGCUAUAGCAACAGCCCCACCUCUCAGUUCUAAUUUUCUGUCUUUGUUUUGUUUUGUCAUAAUAGAAUACCAUGGACUGGGCAAUUUAUUUUAAAAAAAUUGUUUCUCAGAGUUCUGGAGGCUGGAUAGUCCAAUACCAAGGUGCUGGCCUCCUGUGAGGGUCUUUUUGCUGGAUCAUCCCAUCCCAAGCUUUGAGGCAAACUUCCCUAUGACCUGACCAAGCAUCAUGAGGAACUCCUGUCAAGGAAGACCCUGGGUCCCUGAACUGGACACAUCAGGGUCUCAAACCCAGUCUCAGCAAAGGACUUCUGGUUCCUCAUCUCUAAAGUGAGAAUAAAGUGUCUACCUCAUAAGAGGAUUCAAUAAAAUAAUG